GCCAGCAACCUUGCUCUUGACUUCAAGUUGUCCAUAGAGAGUUUGAUAGAGAAGGAGAGAGUAGAAAGUGUAGAGAAUGGAGUAAGAAGUAAGGAGAGUAAGCAAGAGCUCAAGAGCUAGUGUAGACAGGGGUAGUGCUGCAAGAAUCUCAUAGAAAAAUCAGUGGAGAUGCUAUCCAAAUAGGAUUAAGAAUUUUGAAAUUAAGGGGAGGUUCUGUCGAAAUACAAACUAGAAACUAGAAUUAAUCUUGAAAGAACGACUAACCUCAGGACAGCUAACCACUAACCCCUUCCAUUAGUGUUGUUUGUAAGAAUUUUUGCAGGAUGAAGAGCUCGGACAAGGGAAUCGCCAACAAGGUCACGGGUAGGAGCACAAGGAGCUCGUCCCGGUAUGCUUCAUCAAGGGCCGGCUUCGACAUGAGUACUGAUCAACCUGUCAUCCCUCAACCAGCGUCUUCUUCCGUUGCACCCUAGAGGAUUCUCCUCAAGGCAUCUCACCUUGCCCUGAGAGGUUCUCAAGAGAAGAGCAACUACAACAAACUCAAGAAUAGGAGCUUCACACACAUGCCAGUCCUCGACGAAGUAUUUCUCUACGAAGCAGGUAUGGCCAGUGAACUUGACACAAUUUUUUAGUUUGUCAGUUGGAGUUCUUUUGCAACCAUCACUAAGUUAGGGUCUAAGCUCUUGACGAUAGAAUUUCUUUGCACCCUACAACUCACUAGAACAGGAUAUUAUUUUAGACUUGUCACCCAAUAAUUUUGCUUCACCUGGACAAACCUUAGUGAUAUUUUAGGCUUCCUCCCAAAUACACGCAUAGACUUAGAAGAAGCCUUGAAAGAUUACGACAUACAUAAGUUUUGGACUGAAAUUUCUAAGGAGCCGUUCUUCCAUGGCAACCGCACAUGAGACAUAGAGAAUCCCACACUUAGGUUCCUAUACAAGUGGUUAGGUACAACUUUCUUCUCCCAGGAUGACGCUAGCAAGAUUAGAACCAUAGACUUACAGCUGAUGUAUGCAGCAAUAAAGAAAAUUAGAGUGUCACUUGUUUAUGCUUUAGUAGAUCAUUGGUGGAGUAUUGCUGAUUAUAAUGUAAGGGAUGUGGCUAUUUGCUCCAUUGUCACUGGCUUAGCCAUAAACCUUAAAUUGAUUGAUGGUGCCCCUCUAGAUUUCAUUGACACGCAUAGGCAAAUUUAUGGUUAUGAACAUUUUAAUCAUGCUCAUAUAAUAAAUAAAAUAAAAGGGGAAUUAUAUUCUAUCCAAACUUUGCAUAUUGAAUUUCAUGUACGAUUGGUAAACAGGAGGGGAACUCAAGGGACAACUUGUAAGAGGGCAACGUAGAGGAUAGCCUCUAGGAGGAUUACACAUCAACACGAGUCAGUCUGGCUCGGAGCUAACUCCACUCAAGAGGAACCAGCACAUACCAGUUAUGAUGACUGGCAGGCACGCCAACACCAUACACUAAACCCACAAGUAUAUCGUCCGUACCAUCUAGCAUACUGUUGGUAUAGAUUAACUGCACUCCUUUAAAUAAGAUUUAAGUAAGAUUAUCUGCAAGCACAUAGAUAUCGUACCAAUGAGACAUUUUAACUGGGUGGUUUUCAUUAUUGUAUCCACAGGGAAGGCCAAAAUGUAGGACUUAUAACUAUAACUUAUACUAUUGAUGUGAACGGUAAACAAUAACUAGAAUCCUACACAUAACUGGGAUAAGUCACGUGAUAAAAGAUAUAGGAUAAAUAAUUAUCAGUCAUCAUAAAUAAAUAAAUAUCAGAGCUCUUCUAGUCAUAGUAAUAGCUAGCCAAUGGAUAACUCAGGAAUAAAUACUAAGGUAAUUCUAUAACUACAUCAAUAAAUAACUCUAAUUAGUGCAAUUAUAUCUAGAAAUCAUUGUUUAGUCAACCCUAUAUCAUAAUAACAUGUAAAGAGGCAUCAACUAAUGAGGAUAUUAAGACACAAGGGUCACCUCCUUCGCGACCGCGCCCAUGCUUGUCCUACGUACGGAGGGUGGACUACAGAGGAUCCAAAGCAGCUGUCACCUACGCGGUCUACCACAUGUCCCGGCAUAUCAGGAUGCACUCGCAGAUAAACAAGAUAUCUAGACACCACGUCUACAUAUUGUCUACCAUCUACCCAACAAUUAAUUAGGUCAACGCUAUACGAGCAAUUACAUGAAUUCAAUAAGAUCAAACCAACUAUCCUAGACAUAUAAUCAAAGUAGACAAUGACUAUUACAAUUAAGAAUAUAUAAGAGAUUAAGAACAAUAAUGCCUAAAUCAUAAUAUUGAAUACAAUAAGAGAAAGGUACUAGAACUAUACCAAACUCCAUGCUCCAGACAGACGCCAGGGGCUCCGGAUCCCGCUGAAGAACUAGAAGUCUUCUACUUCUAAUCUAACUGGGCUAAAACUAUGAACUAGAGAGGCUCUGAUGAUCUGUAACACCCUAAAAAUUCACUUUUCCAAAUAGGCUAAUUGAUUUAAUUAUCUGAUGUGGGCACUAAAGAAUAGUAAGAAAAUAAUUUUUUGGAAUAAAAUUCACUAUAGGAUCUAGAAACAUGUAUGUGCAUUCAUGCUGCUGCAUGUAUUUUGUGUGUGAAGUUUCUCCUUUCAAAUUUGUUUUGCUUUUCUUUUCAAAAUGUUUGAGCAAGAUUUAAAUUAGAAAAUGGAAAAAAAAGAAAUUCCCUUCCCCUCUCCCUACCCGACUUGGGCUUGGCCCAACCCUUUCUUUCCCCCCCCCCCCCCGCGGCCCGCAUCUCUUUCCCUUUUCCCCUUCUUCUUGCUGCGGCCCAGCCAGUGCCCGCACGGCCCACCUCGCGGCCCAAGGGACAACCAGCGCCGCGCCUCCCUCAUCUUGCCUCAGCAGCUGACGGCCGGGCCCCGCGCUCCAGUGCCACUGCCAGGUGGGGCCCACAGGACAGCAUCAUCUUCAACCUCGUGUCCGAGCCGGACACGAGUCGCUCCUCAACCGCGCGCGUGUUUCGCGCGGAGCAGUUCCGAUUCCGCCCGUUCUCCGUCCUUUAAAUACCGACCGAAGCCCCGUAACCCCCCAAGCUAGCUCGAGCUGCAGCCGUCGCGUCAAACACGCCCUAAGCCGCCGCCGAGAUCCGCCGCGUCUUCAAUCCGCCGCUGCAGCGCGCCCCGAGCCGCGUGAGCCGCUUGCCGGUCUUCCCGUCGCGCUUGCGAAGUCGCCGAACCGUUUCAUUCGCGAUUUCGUGUUUUCUGUGCUUCUCUAACCUCGGCCGAACCUUCUUGCAGAGCCGCCGCCCGCCUCUUGCCGUCGUGAGCUCGCAGCGGACUUCCUCGGCUCCAAGCUUGGUCCUAGGUGAGUUCGCAUCGAGCGCCUAAGUGUUCCGGUGUUUUCGGUUUAGUCUCUUGUGCCCUAAAUCGCGUAAACCGUGAGCUCCGGCCGUGUUCGGCCAUGGCGCCACCGCCGGCACCUCCAACUCCGGCGGCCAGCUCCCCUCCCCAACCCCCGAUCUAAUCCUGGCCAUCGGUUUGAGAUCCAACGGCCAGAAACGAAGGAUACCCCUUCGGCCGGCUAGUGUUCAGAAAACCCCCUGCGUUUUUUAAUGUUAUAACCCGCAGUCCUUUACGCUUUCCCGUUUUACGCUUUCCAAUUUGGAAAACGUAUUUCAGCCGCGCAGUUCAAAAAGAAGUUUCCCAGAUUUACAGUUUUGCCAUCGAAUCUAUUUUGCUCAUAAAAACUUCGUUUUAACUCCGAUUUAAUCCGUUCAAGUUGCGUUAGAUUCGUUUUCGCAUAAUCUAUAGUCUAAUGCUACUGUAGUACAAGUUUUCAACUUUUUAAAUCUGAGUUUAGAUUUAAUCUAUUAUUUAUUUAAAGUAAAACUUUGGAAAAUCAUAACUUCUUCGUUAUAACUCCGAUUUUCGUGAUCUUUACGUCUGUGUGAUCAUAGGGCGUUGUAGAUUCGUUUUAUAAACUUUUUAUCUUUAUUUAUUACUGUUGGUGUACUGUUCUAAUAAUAGGCUUGUUUGCUUUGCAUGAUUGCCUUUGGAUGAUUGUUGUUGAUGUGGUGGUUACGAGUAGACGGUGAGCAGUUCGUGGGUGAACAAGAGUACUUCUACGAGCAGGAUCAGCAGGACCAGG
rnacentral:lncRNA from 1 species